rnacentral:lncRNA from 1 species
GAAACAGCCUGGUGGGAUGGGUAACACAAGAGAGCCGGGGAAGCUGAGUGGGAAGUAAAGGGCAUGAUCUUGGGAGACUACUGAAUUUGUUCCUUCCCUGUGAAGCCGGUAGCCAUGGGAACUAAGCACCAUAGACCCUGACUACAGCUACAAAGUGGAAACAAUCUCCCUGCUGUUCAUCAACAACAUAAAUUAUGGCGUGUAUAAACAAUGAGAUGUUCUUCCACCAUGAAAGGAAAUCCUGUUGUAUGCUGUAAUAUGGGUAAAACUUGAAGACAUUGUGUUAACUAUAGUAAGCUCUCACACAAGGACAAAUACUGCCUUAUUAUAUUUAAGAUAAUUACAGGUCUGGUCGUCACUUAGGCCAACCUUUGUUCCGUAGUGGGAUCUUGGGGAAAAGCUGCCUGCUGAGAAGGGAGGUCUAAAGGAGACCAGAGGUAGAACCCUAGAUGGUCUCCUCCACCCAAUGGAGAUUGGAUCUCAAGACUCUUCCCUGUCCAUGGCCCUCUCUCUGCACGCGCCCGCCCACAGACUUUAGCUGCCCUAAAUUCACCUUUCUUGGAGCAGCAAGGAAGCUUGGAUGGAUGUUCAGUUCCGACUUUGAAACACGUUGGGAGGCAACAUUAUUUCUUUUCUUUGCUGCUGAUUUAGAAGCAUAAACUUGGAUACAUUUUCCGCUCCAAACGACUGGCUGUUUUAGGAACUAGAGCUGGCUGGGAGGUUGAGGAGUGUGGAAACUCUGAUGGAGAAGAGCCAAACCUGUUUUCCUCAUUGGAGCAGUGUCCACACCAGAGAGGGAUAUGAAGAGAGUGUGGAGCAAGAGAGGACUCUUGACAGCUGCAAGGUGAAGGAACCAGCAGAUUAGACUACAGAAUCCAUAGUGAUGAAACCUGCUUGACUAUUUAUGACAGUGGAGGCUGAGCAUGAUGAGAAGAUGCUCUGAGUGGGAAACAGAAGUGGAGAAAGG